ensembl:lncRNA
AUCACGGAGCAGGUUUAGAACAGGUCUGAGGAGGCCAGUGCGGUUCAUCAGGGAGCAGGUUUGGAACAGGUCUACAGAGGCAAGUGUGGUUCAUCACGGAGCAGGUUUUGAACAGGUCUGAGGAGGCCAGUGCGGUUCAUCAGGGAGCAGGUUUAGAACAGGUCUAUUGAGGCUGAUGUGGACUAAUCCGGUGCUGAAUCCAGGAGGAUAUGCUGCCUGAAUGCAAGAUCUCCCUCUACAGUGAAUUCACAAGGAACAACACACUUAAAACACAGAGCUCCACAUGUCCCUUUCAAUUUUGAAAUAACUCUAAAUAACCGAGUCAGAUAUGCGCUAUACUUUGGUGGAAAACACAUUUGUAUGGAUAAACCAAGCAUCAAUUUGAACAACAUGUUCUCAUAAAAAAUCUGUCCAAUUCAAUAUGCCUUUGCCGCUUGUCUUAAAUUACAAAGAGUGCAAAGAAAACACACUCUCCACUUUUCACCUGCUGUAUAGCGCACUGGCCAGCCCAGGGAGCUGACCGCAACUGACCGCAGCCGGUCAGAGACACGAAACAAGUUCCUCCAAGGGUCAGUAGGUAAAAUGUCCACUCGAAAAAAAUAAAAAAUAAAUAAAAAAUGUAAGAGGAAAAAUUGCAUGACUGGCCAUGGCAGAGCUUAACUCCCCCUUAAUGAGGUGGUCUGUUGUGUUUACUGCGCUGGGGUGCGCUUUGGCAGUGACUCCUUUUUUAAAGCAGAGGGCCAUCAUUUCAGAGACCGCCUGGCUGCAUGCUCCCAGGCCAUCAGCACUACUACAGCUCCACAAACUUUUGUCCUUAAAAAGCAGGUUAUGCAAGAAUGUGUGUGUAUAUGUAUUUGUAUGUGUGUGUGUGAGGGUGUGUAUGUGUAUUUGUGUGUGUGUGUGUGUGUGUGUGUGUGUGAGUGUGUGCACGUGUAUUUGUGUGUGUGUAUGUGUAUUUGUGUGUGUGUGUGUGUGUGAGAGUGUUUAUGUGCACGUAUACAAGUCUGAUUUAAUGUCCAAAACAUAAUUUGGGUUUAACUGUUUUUUUUUUUUUUACCUUCCUGGUAAUGCUGGUAGCUCAUGACUGUGGACAUUAAGAACAUGAAGAAUAAUCAUGCAACUGUCCUCAUUUAAUUCAAACCACAGAAUCACUCCCUACAAUCCAAUGAAAUAAUGAGAGAGCCACGCUGUUAUGAUGUAAUUUCAUAUUUGUAUAUAUUUAUAUAUUACACAUUUAUUACAGACAAAAUGAAAUCAAGGUGAAGACAAAAGUGGCAGAUAUAUUUGUAAAAAUGUACAUUUCAUGAAAAAAAAAAAAAAAAUCAUUUAUACAGGUUGUCUUUUUUUCGCGUAACGCUCUUUAAGAAACAAACAAAAAAAAAAAACUGGAGUAAAAGAGUGUGAGACAGAAGGACACAGAAACACAGGGACAGAGUGAGUGAUUUACCAGAAAAGAUACAUCGAAAAGAAAAUGCCUUUGAGUUUUCACCAGAGAUGUGAGAGGCAGCAAGAACCAGCUUGCUAAACACACACACACACACACACACACACACACACAUAUUCUGUUGUGUGUGGAGGCUGAAAAGACACACACUUACUCUGAUGUGUGUGGGGGCUGUUUGUUUGUGGCACACAGGUGAGUGAGGACGUCCCUGUGAGCAGCUGAAACUGGACCACAUCAGGCCCUGAUCCGAGAUCAGCUGCUACAUCCCACCCUCAGAGAACACACACAUCCCAGGUGAUCCCUGUCUCAGCUCACAG